UGGGGAAUAUUGCACAAUGGGGGGAAACCCUGAUGCAGCGACGCCGCGUGAGUGAGGAAGUAUUUCGGUAUGUAAAACUCUAUCAGCAGGGAAGAUAAUGACGGUACCUGACUAAGAAGCACCGGCUAAAUACGUGCCAGCAGCCGCGGUAAUACGUAUGGUGCAAGCGUUAUCCGGAUUUACUGGGUGUAAAGGGUGCGUAGGUGGUAUGGCAAGUCAGAAGUGAAAGGCUGGGGCUUAACCCCGGGACUGCUUUUGAAACUGUCAAACUAGAGUACAGGAGAGGAAAGCGGAAUUCCUAGUGUAGCGGUGAAAUGCGUAGAU
rnacentral:rRNA from 1 species